CCUACGGGCGGCAGCAGUGAGGAAUAUUGGUCAAUGGACGAGAGUCUGAACCAGCCAAGUAGCGUGAAGGAUGACUGCCCUAUGGGUUGUAAACUUCUUUUAUAUGGGAAUAAAAUGUUUCACGUGUGGGAUUUUGUAUGUACCAUAUGAAUAAGGACCGGCUAAUUCCGUGCCAGCAGCCGCGGUAAUACGGAGGAUCCGGGCGUUAUCCGGAUUUAUUGGGUUUAAAGGGAGCGUAGGUGGAAUGUUAAGUCAGUUGUGAAAGGUUGCGGCUCAACCGUGAAAUUGCAGUUGAAACUGGCAGGCUUGAGUGCAGGAGAGGUGUGCGGAAUUCGUGGUGUAGCGGUGAAAUGCUUAGAUAUCACGAAGAACUCCGAUUGCGAAGGCAGCACACUGGACUGCUACUGACACUGAGGCUCGAAGGUGUGGGUAUCGAACAGGAUUAGAUACCCCUGUAGUC
rnacentral:rRNA from 1 species